AUUGAACGCUGGCGGCAGGCCUAACACAUGCAAGUCGAGCGGAGCGGCGGACGGGUGCGUAAUGGCUAGGAAUCUGCCUGGUAGUGGGGGAUAACGUCCGGUAACGGGCGCUAAUACCGCAUACUCUCAGAUGAGCCUAGGUCGGAUUAGCUAGUUGGUGGGGUAAAGGCCUACCAAGGCCACGAUCCGUAACUGGUCUGCGAGGAUGAUCAAUCACACGGGAACGGAGACACGGUCCAGAGUCCGACGGGAGGGAACAGGGGGGAAUAUUGGACAAUGGGCGAAAGCCGGAUCCAGCCAUGCGGCGUGUGUGAAGAAGGUCUUCGGAUUUUAAAGCACUUUAAGUUGUGAGGCGUUACCAACAGAAUAAGCACCGGCUAACUGCGUGCCAGCAGCCGCGGUAAUUC
rnacentral:rRNA from 1 species